CACUUUUCUAACAUUCCAUUGGUCAUGCUGGCCAAUUUGACUCAAUGUGGAAGUAGCUUAUAGAAGAGCAUGACUAUCAGGAGCAUCUUUACUGCCUCACUGGAUAAAUAAAGAGAACUGAAAGACUUGCAUGAGAGAUAGGAUGAAAGGAUCUGGGUGUCCAAGUGACUUUAUGGAGCAGAGACCAUCCACGGACCUACACUUCCAUGUCAAGCGAGAAACAAGUUCUAUUUUGAGGACUCACAGUACUGCCAUGGAACCCUGCAUUCUACUGGUUACAAACUGUUCUCGUUCCUUUCAUGGCCUAAUUUGAAGGUUCAUCUUUCUCCUUAGGAUCUUCCUGCUCCUACUUCCAGCAGGUUCUUUAAUGUGACCUGAUCACCUUCUCUAGGGAUGAGCAGGCCUUAGAGGCCCUAGAGGACCAUCUCAUACUAAAAAUACCUAACUACUGAACUGACAAAUUAAAUGGCGACUUAUUCAUUUAUAACACAGGGAUGACUCUCCAUUAUCCAGAAUUCCAGAUCUGGACAUGCUGAGUAAGGAGAAUAUCAUUUAGUGAAGAACUACUCCGUGUUAUAGUGGGCACUUCCUUGUAUUAUUUCAAUCACUUGUCACCACAACUCUGUGAUAUAGUUCUUAUUUUGUCCCAAUUUUAUAUAUGAGAAACUUAGUGAGAAACAUUAAAAGAUCUACUUUGAUCCCAUAGCCUAUAAGUUUUGGAGCUAAGAUUCAAGUGCUUUGAUUUCUACCCCAUGCAAUGAGCUGAGUGCACCCACACUGGCUGAAAAAAAAAUGAUAAUGAUAAUUAUUUAAUUAAUGUAAUUAUAAUUUACUGGAUAUUUUCUGUAUGCAUGCAUGCUUGCCAAGUCUCUUCAGUCAUGUCCGACUCUUUGUGACCCUUUGGACUGUAGCCCGCCAGCUCCUCUGUCCUUGGAAUUCUCCAGGCAAGAAUACUGGAGUGGGUUGUCAUUACCUUAAAUACUUUGACAUGCAUUAUCUUACAUAACCUUAACAACUCUGUUAAGUGAGAAACUAUUUCCAGUGAACAAUGAGGAAACAGAUGCUCAAAAAGUUUAAAUAACUUUCUUGCCCUGGUUAAGUGAUGGGGCAGAUAUUCAAACCAUGUCUUUCUGCCCGCAAAGUACUUUUUACUGCCAGGCAAUGUUAAGACUAUCUGAUGAAUAAAAAUCAGAAUGGAGAGAAUUUGUUGAUUGACAGGAUAUUUCAUCAAGGGUGUGGUAGAGGAUAGAAAACCACUGAAGUUCUCCUAGGAGGGACUGAUCAUGUCGCUUCAUGCCAUGAUGCAACAGACAUUGAAUAUCUAAUACUAUUAUUUUUCAUUCUCACUAAUAAUUCUUAUUAGUCACAAAAACUCAUCACUAUCUUUUUUUCAUGAUAGAGAGUGUGCAUUAUAAUUUUCAGUCUAUAUUGUCUCACCUUUCUCUGAGGAUAAAUUUUAGGAAUUGAAAAAGAAAUGAAAUGUCCCAAACCUGAGGAAAAAGCGUGAUUACUUUUUGAUGACAUACUUUAGCAAUCUUUCUUUACUAAAUUGGUGGUAUAUCUGAUUAACUUUCAGGUCAGUGAAAUUAGAAUUUAUCCUGCAAAAUGGAUGUACAUAUGAUAGUUUUACAAGUUUAAACCCUUUAAGAAAUCUUGGGACUAGAUCAAUAAAUUUUAACAGGUAUUUCCUUCCAGCACCUCAACUUACAAACUUAUUAAGACGGGUUUUGUUUUGGUUUGCUUCUCUUUGUGGAAGUAAGAUUUGGAUGGGGUGGCAAGUUUGAAGUAAACCUAGACCUUUGCUCAGAACCAAUGCAUCCGAGAACUUUCCUUUAACAUCCCUUUGUUUCUUGAGCCUGGACUCAUUGAGAAAGCGUUUGUUUCUUUACACUGCAGCCCAGUCACCUGGCAGGAGGUUGGGUACAAAAGAAUGUGCUUUCUAAAUGUCAGCUGAAUAAAUGAAUAUUUGAAUAAAUUCACCAACUAUGGGCUUCGUUUCAUUUUUACCCUGCUUCCUUUUUUUUGGAAAGAUACUCAAUUGAGUUUUCUCAUCCAUUCAUUUUUAUUCCUUUGCAAAGAGUACCCCUUGGGACGUCUCUGCCAGAUCUUUCCUGGGAGCCCUAGCCUGUCCGGCUUGGUGUCUCCCCGACAGUCUGGGCGGACCCUGCCCCUCCCCCUGCGCCACCCCUCCCCCAAAUCAGUUCACAUCGUCUUUGAGGAUGGAGUUUCCAAACCACCUUCUACUAUGCAUGGUUUCCCCCUCCUAAAGUUGAACAGGCUGGUGAAAAUUUAGGCAACGUAGAGAAUAUUUAAAACAAAAGAGAAGUAACGGAAGAUUAAGGAAAGGUCACUACAGUUAGCGAGAAGGGUGUGACUCACUAAAAACAAAAAACCACGUUAACUGACAAAGAGCAAACCGGAAGAAAAAUCAGGAGAACCUUUUGGGUGGCUGAUUGAGACAAUACCAGAGCUGCAAGUGAUGAGAGUGGGAAAGUCAGUCAGAAAAGACUAUGAG